rnacentral:rRNA from 1 species
AGGCAGCAGUGGGGNAAUAUUGGACAAUGGGCGAAAGCCUGAUCCAGCAAUGCCGCGUGAGUGAUGAAGGCCUUAGGGUUGUAAAGCUCUUUUACCCGGGAUGAUAAUGACAGUACCGGGAGAAUAAGCUCCGGCUAACUCCGUGCCAGCAGCCGCGGUAAUACGGAGGGAGCUAGCGUUGUUCGGAAUUACUGGGCGUAAAGCGCACGUAGGCGGCUAUUUAAGUCAGAGGUGAAAGCCCGGGGCUCAACCCCGGAAUNGCCUUUGAAACUGGAUCGCUAGAAUCUUGGAGAGGCGAGUGGAAUUCCGAGUGUAGAGGUGAAAUUCGUAGAUAUUCGGAAGAACACCAGUGGCGAAGGCGGCUCNCUGGACCAGUAUUGACGCUGAGGUGCGAAAGCGUGGGGAGCAAACAGGAUUAAAUACCUGGGUAG